rnacentral:misc_RNA from 1 species
UCUCCGUUGGUGAACCAGCGGAGGGAUCAUUACUGAGUUUACAACUCCCAAACCCUUUGUGAACAUACCUUUUGUUGCCUCGGCAGAAGUUAUAGGUCUUCUUAUAGCUGCUGCCGGUGGACCAUUAAACUCUUGUUAUUUUAUGUAAUCUGAGCGUCUUAUUUUAAUAAGUCAAAACUUUCAACAACGGAUCUCUUGGUUCUGGCAUCGAUGAAGAACGCAGC